CCUACGGGAGGCAGCAGUGAGGAAUAUUGGUCAAUGGUCGGGAGACUGAACCAGCCAAGCCGCGUGAGGGAUGAAGGUACAGAGUAUCGUAAACCUCUUUUGUCAGGGAACAAAGGCGGGGACGUGUCCCCGGAUGAGUGUACCUGACGAAAAAGCAUCGGCUAACUCCGUGCCAGCAGCCGCGGUAAUACGGAGGAUGCGAGCGUUAUCCGGAUUUAUUGGGUUUAACGGGUGCGCAGGCGGUCUGUUAAGUCAGCGGUCAAAGCCCGGGGCUCAACCCCGGCCCGCCGUUGAAACUGGCAGUCUUGAGUUGGAGAGAAGUAGGCGGAAUGCGCGGUGUAGCGGUGAAAUGCAUAGAUAUCGCGCAGAACUCCGAUGGCGAAGGCAGCAUGCCGGCUCCACACUGACGCUGAGGCACGAAAGCGUGGGUAUCGAACAGGAUUAGAUACCCUUGUAGUC
rnacentral:rRNA from 1 species